AUGGCUACAGGAACUUAAUGCGCAUCAAAACGGCAAACAACUUUCAACAUUAGAAGGGAUUCCCAAGUUUCAAAAUAUGUUUUUAGGGAGCACAGUCUUAGAAGAGUCCGAUUGACAUAUCUUCCUGGUUAAAAUUCAAAACACACGAGGAACGAAUCAACAAAACUCGAGGUUUGAGAAGUAAUUUUGGAAUUUCUGUUCUGAAUGAACAUGCCAUUAUAUUAUAUUAUGAAAUCGUUUCUUGGAAACUGUAAAUCAUAUGCAAUUACAUUCAUUGCUGUAAGGAAGGGAGCCUUCUCAGAAGUUGAAAAUUACAUGGCGCACAUGGAUCGACAUGAACCUAUCGAACACCGUAAUGCAGAAGCUUCUGG